AUUGAACGCUGGCGGCAUGCUUUACACAUGCAAGUCGAACGGUAACAGGCCUUCGGGUGCUGACGAGUGGCGAACGGGUGAGUAAUGCAUCGGAACGUACCCAGAGGUGGGGGAUAACGCAGCGAAAGCUGUGCUAAUACCGCAUGUGAUCUGAGGAUGAAAGCGGGGGACCGAGCAGCAAUGUUUGGCCUCGCGCCUUUGGAGCGGCCGAUGUCGGAUUAGCUAGUUGGUGGGGUAAAGGCCUACCAAGGCGACGAUCCGUAGCUGGUCUGAGAGGACGACAAGCCACACUGGGACUGAGACACGGCCCAGACUCCUACGGGAGGCAGCAGUGGGGAAUUUUGGACAAAGGGCGCAAGGCUGAUCCAGCAAUGCCGCGUGCGGGAAGAAGGCCUUAGGGUUGUAAACCGCUUUUGGCAGGAACGAAACGGUGUCCGCUAAUACCGGGCGCUAAUGACGGUACCUGCAGAAUAAGCACCGGCUAACUACGUG
rnacentral:rRNA from 1 species